CUUUAUUUGAAGAGGUAACGGGUUCCAUAAAGUGGCUGCCAAGAGCUGACUGAUGAUAGCAAUUGUAGACAUGUGUCAAAAUUUUGAAUUGAAUGGCAGUUAGUCCAACGUUUGAGUUGGUUUAUGAAUUUGUUGGAUAUAUGACUGGUUCUCGCUUGAUGUGUCUUCCAAAGGGCCCGAGCCUAGUCUCUCUUUAACAUUAACAACUGACAAGACGCCUUGUAUCAAUACUAAUCCGAGUGCCUUGAGUCCGUGACCACAAAGCUGUGAAGUGCCUGGACACAUUAUAAAUGUAUCGUAAGUACUUCACGUGUCCUUCACAGAUACACAAACCGGCCGUAGUACCACGCCAGGCCCACGUGACCUUGUGGAGUUCUGUCAUGUGUCGUGACAGGACUGGCUUUGAUGGUGGGGAUUGUUUUGUUUUCAAAUGCUUCCAUGAGCGUUAUUUUUUUUUAAGUGAUAUAUGGACAUGCUGAGGAUCUGUCACAGUGCAGUUUUUGACUGUCUGGACCGGGGAUAAGGUAUGACGCAUGUCUGUUUUUGUCCUUGUGGCGCUGUGUUGGAGCUCUGCGUACAGUACAUCUGGGCUCCACGGGUCAUUUAUCUGACCACCAAGCCUGAUGCAGAGGCGCACAAGAUUCAGAAACCGGAUAGUGACUCACGUCACAAUUGACUUGCUGAUUAUUCCUGGAAUAACAGUUCAUCCGAUUUGUUGAUAAAGAGUCCAUAUUACACAAUAUGUAUCUUAUCUUGUUCCCAAGAUGUACUUAAUCACAACAAGUAAUCUUAUGAUAGGUGAAUAACUAACACACAUGGGCCUUGGGGAAGCCCAGACUUAAGCUGGUUUUAUUGUGCCAGCUCAGUGGGGGGUAAUUGAAUAUCUAACUCAUUAAAGGUUUGAACUUUG